UGGCGAACAGCGCGAGCACAGACUGUGCGUAACAUGGAGACGGGGAGUGGUGAACAGCGCGAGCGCAGCUGGUGCGUAAUGUGGACACUGAUUCAACAACCCUGAAAAGAAAGAGAGACAGUAAACUUGUGCGGUAUUCAAGCCAUGCACCUGAAAUCAAUUGGAUAUACCACAUUCAGAAGGAAUGCACAGACUUAUUUGGAGCCAGCAGUGAUCCACAAAUGGCAUCAGCUUCAGGAAGAGGAAUUGCAGUUUCUGAGCCAGAGAAAGGUUAAAAUUGGCGAAAAUAUAUGAGGGCAGACUCACCAGGUAAACUUCCUUAAUUAAUUAAUUAAUUAAUUGACAUUGUUAAGAGGUGGCGGCGUGGCACCAGCAAUCAUGUCUACUGGGAAGCAACAUCAUCAUUCACCAGGGCUGAAAAAGUGGCUAAAUGGACCUCAUUAAUUAACCACAUUCAGAACAUACACAGCCACGACAUCCCAGCUUUGCCCAAAUGCCUCCACCCUGUUCGCCGAACAAGAGAUCGUAAAAAGUGGUUUCAGCCAGGUGACCAGUUGUAAAGGUGACCAGCUGUAGACCUCCAUUGUAUGUAAUGUUGUUUGACUAUCUUGCUUGUGUUUCUCUAAAAAUAUAUAUCUUUCUAUAGGCACCAAAGCCCUCUAUAAAGUGGAAAAAAUCCUUACAAACAAGAGGGUCCUGGCUGAUGUGGAAAAGCUGAGCUCAAAGUACCAGACCUCAACACUGAAAGCUUUCCACAGUGUUAUUUUGCGUUUUACUCAAUUUCCCAAAAGCAAAAAAAGGAGCGUCUUCGGUGAAAGCAGUAAAAACACAACCGACACACUUAGUUGCUAUAUCUUCAGCCUGAUGCAUCUCCUCUUUGAAAAGGUAGUCCCUAACCCCCUGCCCUACUUGGAGGAACGUCCGAAGAUUCCUGUGCCCAGUUCCCUAUUGUCCCAACACGAACAUCCACCCUUAGAAGACGCUAUUGCGGCCUAUGUAUCUCGCUUUAGAGUGGAGGAGGUUUAAAUCCAACAUAUUGGCCUUCUGCAUCAGGGAACUCCCUGCGUAUGUGUUGGACCACACAAGAGGAGGGGAUGACAACACGUAUCUUCCUGCCAAGAUAUCCCCAGCACCAGCUUACAAAUGGAAUGUAGGUCAAGUACCUGCAACGGCUGUCAAAAAGCAGAGGACAUUUAGAAAGCCCUUAUUUCCAAGAUGGCGGCCGAAAUGGCGGCGGGGAGCUUGAAAUGGCU
ensembl:lncRNA